UACAGAGGUGGCAAGCGUUGUUCGGAAUUACUGGGCGUAAAGGGCGCGUAGGCGGCCAUCUAAGUCAGACGUGAAAUCCCCCGGCUUAACCUGGGAACUGCGUCUGAUACUGGACGGCUUGAGUAUGGGAGAGGGAUGUAGAAUUCCAGGUGUAGCGGUGAAAUGCGUAGAUAUCUGGAGGAAUACCGGUGGGCGAAGGCGGCAUCCUGGACCAUUACUGACGCGUGAGGCGCGAAAGCUAGGGGAGCAAACGGG
rnacentral:rRNA from 1 species